rnacentral:rRNA from 1 species
CUGGCGGCGUGCCUAAUACAUGCAAGUCGAACGCACUCUCGUUUAGAUUGAAGGAGCUUGCUCUGAUUGAUAAACAUUUGAGUGAGUGGCGACGGGUGAGUAACACGUGGGUAACCUGCCCUAAAGUGGGGGAUAACAUUUGGAAACAGAUGCUAAUACCGCAUAAAACCUAACACCGCAUGGUGUAGGGUUGAAAGAUGGUUUCGGCUAUCACUUUAGGAUGGACCCGCGGUGCAUUAGUUAGUUGGUGAGGUAAAGGCUCACCAAGACCGUGAUGCAUAGCCGACCUGAGAGGGUAAUCGGCCACACUGGGACUGAGACACGGCCCAGACUCCUACGGGAGGCAGCAGUAGGGAAUCUUCCACAAUGGACGAAAGUCUGAUGGAGCAACGCCGCGUGAGUGAAGAAGGUUUCCGGAUCGUAAAACUCUGUUGUUGGAGAAGAAUGUAUCUGAUAGUAACUGAUCAGGUAGUGACGGUAUCCAACCAGAAAGCCACGGCUAACUACGUG